GCCAUCCUCUAGAUUCUAUCCAGUCGGUAAAGUGACACAUCUUGCCUCCUAAGUUCUAACGACUUCUUGCUCUGUGGGAAUAUGAUUCAAGCAAGUUCCAGUUUCAGAAUUUAUUCAGCUGAAAGGUUCACCUCCUGCGUCAAGCUGAAUAAAUGGCCUAAUAGGCCAAGUGACCUGCUGUACAGAAGUUUCUACCUCACCCAAGCAGAAGUAUCUAUUCUGUGCCCAGGAUAUGGUUGCUUUCUUCGCCAGUAUCACAAUGAGGUCAACUGUUCACUGCCUGCAUCUGUUGGUAUGAUCUGUCUCUUCGAUCUACUUAUGGUUAAGAACAAUGGAGUCAUCCACUAGGCAUCUGUACAAAUGUAAGCUCUCUCAACUACUGGAAGGCAUCGGUGAUCAUGAGCAAGAACCAUUGUCAGAUAAUGAUGAAACGGAGGAAGAGCGGACUCAUCCUGCAAGAAUGGACGACAGCACUGGUGAAAGCAACCAGAAUACCGUAAGGCAAGAUCAGAUGUGUUACAUGUUCGUCCUUCAUCCGGUCAUAGUGGUGAGGCUCUAGGAAGAUCAAGCUCAUCUCUGUCAGUUACAUACUGCUCACCUCAAAGAGAGCAAAGGGAAGAUGACCUGAGGCAAAGCUUCUCUUUAAGCAGUUCAUAUCUGGGUGCAGUGAGAGGUUUACAGAAUGAUGAUGUUAAUGAAAAGGCCGGUUCAUGGUUAUCAAGAGAUUUAAGUUCAUCAGUUACACAGCUGUCCACUUCAUCACCAAGGAGACUGUAUGGAUCAUCUACAGAUAAUUCCUUUGGGAAAACAUCAUGGCAACCUGUGAGUUCUCAAAUAACUGAGGAAAAUCCAGGAUACUCUGCAAGACAAAGGGGAAUUUUUUCAGAUACUUCUCCAGCUUCUCGACAAGAGAUGGCUUCACGUUAUAGUUUCACAGGAUACUCGGAUGCAAAACACUCUUUGUUGCACAGACGUUAUCUAUCUUCCUCUUUAUAUUUUAAACAGCCUUUCAGAAAUUGGACUCUGCCAUCAUCAUCAGGUAAAAAGUCUACCCAGUUGGCUCUCAUCUAUAGAGCUAGACCCUAUCUCUAGACACCAGAACCAACACAUGGCAGAAUACAUAAACCUAACACAACCUAAAUCAUCUGUGGGAGUUAAUACAAAAUUUAAAAUGCCACAUGCAUAAGGCCUUGCACCUGUAGUCACGCAUAGUGUAAUGACCAAAGUCCAUAAAAUUAUAAAACAUAACCUAAAAAUAUAGUCAAAUUCUAAGAGUGACUAUAGAUUCCAUAAAGGUACUGAUAGGACAUAGACUUUUGGCCUUUACAUUCAUAAAGACAGAGAUACCAGAUAUAUAUACCCAAUAAAUGUAGAAGCUUAAAAUUGAAGCAGAUGAAAUUUCCUGAGUACUGAGGAGAGCAGCAAAUAAACCAAUACCAGGAAGAAGUACAUUAACGAGACAUAAAUGGUACUGUACAGGUGUCUCGUUUAUUUAUUUCUGGGUCAGUCCAUGUCAAAUCAACACAGAAAUUGACUUGAAGUUUUAUAAGCCUGCAGAUUCUAAUGAGUAAAUGAUGAAUAUGGAGUUUUCCUUCCUGUGAAGUAAUUGCAAAUUUAUUGCAUUCCGUAGUUUUCCUUACAUUUUCUCACACUCUGAUUCACUACAGUGCGUAUAACUCAGUCCAUAUUAAGGUAAGAGAGCUCAUUCUUCUAACAGUUGAAAGGCUUUAGGUGGGAAUUUUCAUUUGGUAUGCCAGAAUAUUUUAGGACACAUUAACACUUCCACCAAAUUUUGACCUUGAUUUAUAGAAAUAAUAUGGCCUGAUUUAUGCAUACUCUAUGUAAUUGUUUAAGUACGUGUCUGGAAAUUAUCAUUUUGGGUAACAAGUUAGUUGACAAGAUAACGUAUUUGUUUAUAAGUACAGGAUACAUGUUGGUCAGUCAGAUUAAAGAUUAUGUAGGUAAUACAGCAGUGUUACUUUCAUAUAUUUCAUUUCAUUUAUCCAUUUUAUUUCACAUUCAUAAUUGCUACAACAGUAACACUUG